rnacentral:rRNA from 1 species
AGGUGGGGAUGACGUCAAGUCAUCAUGGCCCUUACGCGCUGGGCUACACACGUGCUACAUGGCGACUACAGUGGGCAGCAAUCCCGCGAGGGUGAGCUAAUCUCCAAAAGUCGUCUCAGUUCGGAUUGCACUCUGCAACUCGAGUGCAUGAAGGCGGAAUCGCUAGUAAUCGCGGAUCAGCAUGCCGCGGUGAAUACGUUCC